ACAUUCCAUCUUCUCUCCCAAGCAAGGUUAAACAGAGCUGAGAGGACCAGAGCUGCUUGGGCUCGGAGCCAUGGUCGUGGGGGCGCACAGAGGCAGGCAUCUUCCGGAUAUUCAGGGCUCACGGCUGGAGGGUUUAUAGGACCCGCUGAUGGACUCAGCGCAGGGCUGAAGGAAGGAGACCAACAGCUUGAUGUUUCUUCCCCUGACCUCAUUCUCCCCAUGACCUUUGUCAACAUGUCAAGACUUCCCGGAGGAUGUUCUUGAAACAUGGCAGACUGGAAGUACAUGACAUUUUGGCAUCCUCCUGAAGUCAUACCAAAAUGACCAUAAGGGGGAGAACAGUUAUGAACUCAUAAGAAAGAAGAAAACAGAUGUGACAAAUUGUUAAUACAAUUUGGGGAGAUGGAAAGUGGACGGAUGAGUGGCACAUAACUCAGUGACUGGAGGAAGCUUUCGCUACCUUAGCUUCCCGGGAGUUGCCCAGAAGUGGGCGGAUGGAUCUGGAGGCACCGUCUACCUCUGGAAACAGGGUUGAAGGGGAAACCUGCAAACAGAAAAGGCUUGCUGAUUGCUGCUCUGGACUGAGAACCACCAAUCAACCACGGAACUCCCAACCAGCUUUAACUCACUCCCCCUCGGGACAUACGCAUGUUAACAAGGGCGACUAAACAACUAAACACUGCCACACAUUUGGGGAAAUACUCCAGCAUGGAAGACAGAGACAAAACAGAGCAAACCACUCGAGAAAAGACAGUACAGUUCAGGGAGCAAAAGAAAACUUCAAAAAAUAUUUCUAUCUUUAAUGUCCUUGCAAAGGUAGGAGAAUAUAUUUUAUCCACGCACAUGAGCGAGAUGCUAUAUAAAAGGACAUGGAAGAAUAAAAAAGAGUUCUUUGAAAUCAAAAUAUGAAAACAGAAACAAAGCAACUCUAUAGAAAUAUUAAAGAUAUAACUGAAGAAAUCUCCUAGAAAGUAGAGUAAGAAAACAGACAUAAAAAAAAAAUAGAAGAUAAAAUUAGAAGAUAAAUUCAAGGUGUCCAACUGCUGAUAAAGUUAAAAAAAAAACAAAAAACAAAAACCAAAACACCACGGAGGAGGAAAUAACAAAAAACCCCAGGAGAGACACCUGGGUGGCUCAGUUGGUUAAGUGUCUGCCUUCGGCUCAGGUCAUGAUCUCAGGGUCCUGGGAUCAAGCCCCAUGUGGGGCUCCCUGCUCAGUGGGGAGUCUGCUUCUCCCUCUGCCUCUGCCCCCACUCGUGCUCUCUUACUACUUCUAUCUCUCAAAUAAAGACAAUCUUUAAAAAAGAUAACCCCAGGAAAUUGCCCCAAAUUGAAGGACAUGAAGUUCCACAAUUGAAAGAACCCACCAAGUAUCUACCUGACAAACGGACUUCCAUCAAGUCCUGAUCAUGCAAUUUAAGGACACUGCUGACAGAGGCAGAAUCCCAGGAUUCCCCCAGAGGAAAGAGAAAGGAAAAAACACAGGCCACUUUUAAAAUUUCAGAAAUCAAAAUGGCAUUGGACUUCUCAAAGCCAAAAAUGGACCAAUGUCCAGAUUCUAAGGGGAAACAAUCACAUCUAGUACUGGAUUUCUAAAUGAACUCUUGUUUGGGCAUGACAGAGCAAAGACGUUUGAACACCCCAGUCUCCUGGGGUCUGCAAGUCUGCAAGUCUCCCAGGGAUGUGCUCUGGCAAAAUGGAAGAAUAAAGGGUCAAA